CACGGGGGGAGCAAGCGUUGUCCGGAAUCACUAGGCGUAAAGGGUAAGUAGGCGGAAGCGAAAGUCAGAUGUUAAAGGCACCGGCUCAACCGAUGUACGGCAUUUGAAACUUCGUUUCUAGAGUAAGGUGGGGGAAGAUGGAAUUCCUGGUGUAGCGGUGGAAUGCGCAGAUAUCAGGAAGAACACCAGUGGCGAAGGCG
rnacentral:rRNA from 1 species